UCCGCAUGUUCACAUGAUUAAAGGUAUUCCGGUAGACGAUGGGGAUGCGUUCCAUUAGAUAGUAGGCGGGGUAACGGCCCACCUAGUCUUCGAUGGAUAGGGGUUCUGAGAGGAAGGUCCCCCACAUUGGAACUGAGACACGGUCCAAACUCCUACGGGGGGCAGCAGUGAGGAAUAUUGGUCAAUGGGCGAGAGCCUGAACCAGCCAAGUAGCGUGAAGGAUGACUGCCCUAUGGGUUGUAAACUUCUUUUAUAAAGGAAUAAAGUCGGGUAUGCAUACCCGUUUGCAUGUACUUUAUGAAUAAGGAUCGGCUAACUCCGUGCCAGCAGCCGCGGUAAUACGGAGGAUCCGAGCGUUAUCCGGAUUUAUUGGGUUUAAAGGGAGCGUAGAUGGAUGUUUAAGUCAGUUGUGAAAGUUUGCGGCUCAACCGUAAAAUUGCAGUUGAUACUGGAUAUCUUGAGUGCAGUUGAGGCAGGCGGAAUUCGUGGUGUAGCGGUGAAAUGCUUAGAUAUCACGAAGAACUCCGAUUGCGAAGGCAGCCUGCUAAGCUGCAACUGACAUUGAGGCUCGAAAGUGUGGGUAUCA
rnacentral:rRNA from 1 species